GCCAAAAAGAGUGUGAGGCUGCUAAAGCUCAGAAGCAGUGCAAAAACGUGGUGCUGUCUGGCACUGCCACCUGCGGGAUCCCUGCUCAUUGCUGAGCCCCUGGUGGUUCACCUCCCAUUGCUCCUUGACCUCCACUUCCGACGGAAGCCACAGGGAAGACACCUGGACACCGCACGAGUAAGGAGAUGGAGCCCGUGACCUUUGAGGAUGUGGCCAUGAAUUUCACCCAGGAGGAGUGGGCACUGCUGGAUCCUUCCCAAAAGCAGCUCUACAGAGAUGUGAUGCAGGAAACCUCUGGGAACCUGGCCUUUAUAGGAGAAAAAUGGAAAGAACUAAAUGUUGAAGAUGAGUUCAAAAGCCCCAGGAAAAACCUAAGAAGUCAAGUGGUUGAGAGACUCUGUGAAUGCAAAGGAGAUAGUCAGUGUGCAGAAAACCUUAACUGGACUCCAGAGCAUAUUUUGAAGGAAAAAACUCCUCCAGGAGUAACACCAUGUGAAAGUCCUGUGUGUGGAGAAGUGACCAUUGGUCAUUCAUCCCUAAAGGUGCCCCUGAGAGGUCCCACUGAACACGAACCAUGUGAGCAUCAGGAAUAUGGAGAGAGGCCAUAUAAUCAGAAGGAGUAUGGGAAAUCCUUCAGCUAUUCUCAGUGUUUGCAGACUCAUGAAAGGACUCACAGUGGAGAGAGACACUGUGACAAAAAAUGUGAUGAAGCCUUUAGGUGUUCCAGUCCUGUUGGAAAUCAUAAAAGGACUCACACUGGCGAGAAGCCCUAUAAAUGUAAGCAAUGUGGGAAAACCUUCGCCCGUUCUAGUAUCCUUGUAGAGCAUGAAAGAAUUCACACCGGAGAGAAACCAUUUGUGUGUAAGAGUUGUGGCAAAAGAUUUCCUCGUUCUAGUUCCCUUUACACACAUGAAAGAAUUCACACUGGAGAGAAACCCUUUGUUUGUAAGCAAUGCAGUAAAGCCUUCUGUGAUCAGAGUUCCCUUCGAUACCAUGAAAGAAUUCACAGGGGAGAGAAGCCAUAUGUAUGUAAGCAACGUGGGAAAGCCUUUGCUUGUUCUGGUACCUUUCGAAAACAUGAAAGAAUUCACGAAAAAGAGAAACCCUAUAAAUGUCUGCACUGUGUGAAAGCCUUCCAUUCUGACAGUGCCUUUCGAAAACAUAAGAGAGUGCAUACUGGAGAGAAACUCUAUGUAUGUCCGCAUUGUGGUAAAGGCUUUGUUUAUUCCAUUUCUUUUAAGUACCAUGUAAAGACGCACAAUGGAGAGAGAGAAAAGAAACCCUAUGAAUGCAAGCAGUGUGGUAAAACGUUCUAUAGUGCCAGUUACCUGAAAGAACAUGAGAACAUUCACAGUGGAGAGAAACCCUAUGAAUGCAAGCAGUGUGGUAAAGCCUUCCAUAAUUCCGCUUCCCUCCGAAGACAUAACAAAGUGCACACUGGAGAAAAGCCACAUGUAUGUGAGCAGUGUGGGAGAGCCUUUGCUUGUUCUAGUUCCUUUCGGAGACAUAACAAAGUUCACACUGGAGAAAAACCACAUGUAUGUGAGCAGUGUGGGAGAGCCUUUGCUUGUUCUGAUUCCUUUCGGAGACAUAAAAGAACUCACACAGGAGAGAAACCCUAUAGAUGUAUGCACUGUGGAAAAGCCUUCAGUUCUGACAGUGCCUUUAGAAGACAUAAAAGAAAAAAAAUGCAUACUGAAGAGAAACCAUAUUUUGACAGCAUUGCAGCAGAGCCUUCAUUUAUCCCUCUUCAUUUAAAUACCACGUAAGAACGCACAAUGGAGAGAAACCUUAUGUAUAUGAGCAAUGUGGGAAACCUUCCUUAUUUUGAAUCAUUUUAUAGCACAUGAAUAAGCUCAUAGGGGCAAAUCCUAUGUGUGUAAGCAGUGUGAGAAAAUCUUGUUUCCCAGUUCCCUUCAAAUACAUGAAAGAUUAUACACUGGAGAGAGACCCUACGUUUGUGAGCAGUGUGGGAAAGCAUUCCGUUGUUCCACUGCCCUGAGAACCCAUAAAAAAAUGCACAGUGCAGCGAAUCUGUACGAACUCAAGCAGUGUGGUAAAGCAUUUGGUGAUCCCAGGUCCCUGAAAACAUGAAAAAAUUCACAGUGGAGAGAAACCCUAUGUAUAAAAGUCUCCAUUUGGCUCACACAUGUGGAUGCACACUGAAUCAAACCUUGUCAUUGUGAAGAAAAAAAAUAAAACCCAAGAAAGUUAUUAGUUGAAACACAGUUUCAAUUAAUGAAAAAUUGUCAUGUAGUGCAAUCUUAUGAGUAAUAUGAAGAACUUGAU
rnacentral:lncRNA from 1 species